rnacentral:lncRNA from 1 species
ACCGCCAGGAAGACGGAGUGCAGUAGCGGCAGACGGGGGAGGAGAGCAGAGAGGAGAGGAGGGACGGCUGCUCCGGAGUGGGGGGUGGAAGAAAACCGGGAGCAGCCUGAGCAGCAGGUCCGGGGGUAGACGCUCAGCUCCACUGCCCUCCUCACUCAGGCAGACGCUGCUGAGCUCCCCCGGGUUGUUUCCCAGUCCCGCUGGGCGGAGGCUGCCGUCUAGACCUGACUCCAGAAUUUAAAAUGCAAUGGCCAGAAGACAGGAAAGUGUCACUAGAAGAAUGUGGACAUGGACUCCAGGACUGCUGCUAAUGACUGUGAUCUUGUGGAGUCAGCAGGGGAAUGGACAAGGCCAAGGGGCCACUGCAUUACCCAUCUCCAUUCUGCUUCGGGGGACUCAAAAGAAAAGCCAGGGAUACAUGAACCACAGAGGUCUUCCUACUGACCUAAAGAUCUUCACCAACUCAGCCCAGCCAGGGAGGUUUGCUUCCUAGACUUUGCUGGUUAGUGGACGGUCCCAAGGCAGAGGUCACUGUUGGAAGGAAGAGGG